AGAGAAUAAAAUCACGCCGAGAGACUAAAUGUCGUUUUCAAUUCGCGGAAUUAUGUAUCGUCAGCGAUGUCAUGGAAGAAACCGCCUCCGUAUCUUGUUCCACGCAAACAGGACGUAAAUACCUCUCGGAGAUAGCCGUGCGAUCAUGUAAUCCGCAGAGUACGGCGAUGCGGCUUGUAUCGGCGAUGAAACUCCGAAAGUGGCUCGCGCACACGCGACGUCGAUCCAGCGCAUUCGUCCGGUAAUAACGUAAGAAGAUGCAAAUGCGGCCCGCGGUCAUGUCGUGCUCGCGUUUAUGGAACUCGUAUAUAGUUACGCGCACGUAGAGCAACCCAAGGGGUUGUAAUUAGUGCGUAUACGGCAAGAAAUCGAGGGUGAGUCGGGGUCGUGGAAAUUACGCACACGCAAUUAAUUAAAUAAUGAUAUAAUUGACCCGAAGGGCAGAGUAAUUAGCUGAUUGAUAUACAGAGACGAGACCGGGAGCGAAGGGACGUAAAAGGACGCGAGCGUGGGCCGGAGAGAGAUCCUGCGAGAGGGGUAAGAAGAGGGCAGGAAGACAGAGAGGAGCGCCACAGACGCGCGCGGAGCCAGAGGGGAAUUGUUUCAUAGAAGUUGCAUGCCGCGCAAAUGACGAGAGUAGGGCUGCAAUUUAUUUGCAAUUUGCAUUCGAUUUGCUAGCGGGAUUUAUCGCGACCCGCAACGCAAAUUGAUCGAAUUAAACAGACGCAAAUUUUCUCCGAGGGGUUGCAACAUCGCCACGAUCUUAUCGGAGCGUCGAGCGUCACUUUUCGCAUUCCGACAAAGCCGGCUUCGUAAAGGCAGCACCGAUGAUGGUGGAAAGAUACAAAUUGGGGUCGGGAGAGUAAAGGUUCGAUCAUCCGACCGAAGAUCUUAUCCGCCUAAUGGUGGCAGAAGCCACCACAGCCUAACUUAAAAGUCACUUGGUACCAACAGGUACUACUACCAACUACUUUGACACGAUUAAUCUGGCACAACUAAUUUAAAUAUGUUUUUGUGACGUUGCUAUUUAGUCUGAUGCAAUGAAUUUUAUCUAUAUUGCUAUCUGAUACAUGGAAUACGUGAAAUUGUUAAAAACACUUCUCUUUCAGAUAUCUUUGAAGAUAACGAAAAUCACGUUGUCAAAAAUAUAUUAUAUAUAUAUGAUAUAAUAGAUCAACAAAAGAAAUUAUAGCAGAUACAUCAUAUUACUUAACUGUUCGCUCCAAAAGAGGGCAAUUCGUUCUUCUCGGCCUUUCGGGCUUUCUUUAAUUAAUGAGGUGUAUUGAACUAUUGACGGAUACAAUAGCCUCUCGAAUCAAGUGGUGACUGGCCGAAGUGCUAACCGACGGAUUCUUUGACGGCUGAAUCGAAAUAAUUUAAUUAGCCACCUCCAUUGGCAGCCGCGCGCAAAGUCCCUUCAUCAGGAUGAAAAGAGAAUUUUUGCUCGUUUUGAAUCGUGAGUGCCGCACUUCCGAUUUUCAAAAUUCACAACAGAGCACUGUUUCUUUUGUUUCUCUCGCGAUAAAUAGCGCAGAUUGUACAUAAUUAUAGGUAAUUGGAAAAUUUAUUUUGAAAUUUCAUGACGAUUCCUUGAAACAAGUGUCAAUGUUCCCGCGUUGGCUCAGAUUUUAACGGAUAUCGUGGACGUUACGGAUCCAACGGCGUGUGCCCCUUAAGGCAAAACCUUUCGAUCCUUUAUACAGAUUUACUCACGCCCCCAGAUCCUUGUUUACGCGGCCGUAACCGCAGCUUGCUAAACAUUUAUCGUUCUUGCUCAGAUAAAAGCUCGAUAACAUUAUUAUUACUAUUACUCCAUACCCGAGGCGUUUCCUAAGUGCUUUUCGCUCUAAAACAUCGAAAGUGCUUUUUAAGAUGUGAUCGCGCCUCGGUCGAAAGGACCCCCUAUCUCUUUACCUGCAUUCAGGAUAAUCGCAACCGUAACGUUGGUACGCGUAAGUCGAUGGACGCUUGGCAAAUAGUAAUUGAAAUUUAAGCAUCAUCGCAAUAUUGUAUCUCCUUAAUGCCACUCGCGUACAUACAACGUAUUGAAUGAUGCGUAGUAGGAUAUCGAGCCCGAACUCUCUUCGCCUUCCACCCAAUGUCCCAACGUACAGUUUUGUAUCAUCCCUCAUAUCGCUCUACCUCGAUUUAACUUUGUAAUGAUAUCGUAAAUAUAUACAUGUAUCUACAGGC